rnacentral:rRNA from 1 species
GUGGAUAACCUACCUAUAAGACUGGGAUAACCUCGGGAAACCGGAGCUAAUACCGGAUAAUAUAUUGAACCGCAUGGUUCAAUAGUGAAAGACGGUUUUGCUGUCACUUAUAGAUGGAUCCGCGCCGCAUUAGCUAGUUGGUAAGGUAACGGCUUACCAAGGCAACGAUGCGUAGCCGACCUGAGAGGGUGAUCGGCCACACUGGAACUGAGACACGGUCCAG